UACGAAGGGGGCUAGCGUUGUUCGGAAUUACUGGGCGUAAAGGGCGCGUAGGCGGCGUGUCAAGUCAGGCGUGAAAGCCCCGGGCUCAACCUGGGAACCGCGCUUGAGACUGGCAUGCUCGAGUUCGGGAGAGGAUGGUGGAAUUCCCAGUGUAGAGGUGAAAUUCGUAGAUAUUGGGAAGAACACCGGUGGCGAAGGCGGCGCUCUGGACCGAGACUGACGCUGAGGCGCGAAAGCGUGGGGAGCAAACAGG
rnacentral:rRNA from 1 species